GGUGAGUAAUGUCUGGGAAACUGCCUGAUGGAGGGGGAUAACUACUGGAAACGGUGGCUAAUACCGCAUAACGUCGCAAGACCAAAGAGGGGGACCUUCGGGCCUCUUGCCAUCAGAUGUGCCCAGAUGGGAUUAGCUUGUUGGUGAGGUAACGGCUCACCAAGGCGACGAUCCCUAGCUGGUCUGAGAGGAUGACCAGCCACACUGGAACUGAGACACGGUCCAGACUCCUACGGGAGGCAGCAGUGGGGAAUAUUGCACAAUGGGCGCAAGCCUGAUGCAGCCAUGCCGCGUGUAUGAAGAAGGCCUUCGGGUUGUAAAGUACUU
rnacentral:rRNA from 1 species